UACGUAGGUGGCAAGCGUUGUCCGGAAUUAUUGGGCGUAAAGCGCGCGCAGGCGGCCUUUUAAGUCUGAUGUGAAAGCCCACGGCUCAACCGUGGAAGGUCAUUGGAAACUGAAAGGCUUGAGUACAGAAGAGGAAAGCGGAAUUCCACGUGUAGCGGUGAAAUGCGUAGAGAUGUGGAGGAACACCAGUGGCGAAGGCGGCUUUCUGGUCUGUGAACUGACGCUGAGGCGCGAAAGCGUGGGGAGCAAACAGG
rnacentral:rRNA from 1 species